rnacentral:rRNA from 1 species
GACGAACGCUGGCGGCGUGCCUAAUACAUGCAAGUUGAGCGCUGAAGGUUGGUACUUGUACCGACUGGAUGAGCAGCGAACGGGUGAGUAACGCGUGGGGAAUCUGCCUUUGAGCGGGGGACAACAUUUGGAAACGAAUGCUAAUACCGCAUAACAACUUUAAACACAAGUUUUAAGUUUGAAAGAUGCAAUUGCAUCACUCAAAGAUGAUCCCGCGUUGUAUUAGCUAGUUGGUGAGGUAAAGGCUCACCAAGGCGAUGAUACAUAGCCGACCUGAGAGGGUGAUCGGCCACAUUGGGACUGAGACACGGCCCAAACUCCUACGGGAGGCAGCAGUAGGGAAUCUUCGGCAAUGGACGAAAGUCUGACCGAGCAACGCCGCGUGAGUGAAGAAGGGUGUCGGAUCGUAAAACUCUGUUGGUAGAGAAGAACGUUGGUGAGAGUGGAAAGCUCAUCAAGUGACGGUAACUACCCAGAAAGGGACGGCUAACUACGUG